CUAUAAAAGCCUCAAGCACUGGAGAAGAGGUGCAGAGUUUUCUGGCUCUGGAAACACCAACCAGCUGGGUUCUUUAGAGUCUGAGGUCUGAGUGCCCUGCCAGUCAUUGCAGAGCAGUAAGUUAUCACCCUCAGAUAAGGAUGUCCUUUUCUUACUAUGGUUAGCUAAUGUUGAAGGGUAGUGUGUAUCUGUGGAUGGCAAGCAGAGUUUUCAGAAAAAAUAAUUUCUCUCCCAAGAACACAUUUCAGGUUUUUAUUUUUCCUCCCAGUGUAGUUUUGUCUGAAUCUCAAACAUUUUGAUUUGUGAUUUAACUGGUAUCAUUUUAAAUGUCUUUACCAAGCAGAUAUUUUUAAUGCAGCACAUAAGUUUGGAAUUUUAUUUCUUGAAAUUUAAGAUACAUAUUUAGUUCACAAAUGGCAUUCAUCUUAGGAAUAACUGACAAUGGAGGUUGUAUGGAUCCACAUGACUCUCCUCUUCCCAUAGAGUUAGAGCUCUAAGUGAUGGUCAUAUUUUCCCCCAAUAAAGAUACAGUCAGCUUUCAUGCACUUCAGUAUGCAUUUCUAGGUGGGACAUGAAAAAAGCAAAGCAGUAGAUGGACCUGAAUGGGCUAGUGGUUGCCUUUUGCCUCCUUAGUACUAGCAAUCUCGCUAGUUCAUAUUCAGAGUAAAGAAAGAGUUAACACCUUGUCCCCCUGACCCCUGCCUAGUGUAUUAUGGCUAAGUGCCUCACUUGCAUCCCAGCUAGAGCAGUGAUCUUGGCCCUGAGUGGAUUCCUUGGAAGGGUAGGGAGACUGCCUAAGGUAUGCUCCUGAAUUGCCUAAAAUGGACCACUUGUUCCCUGGCAGUUUCAACAGGAGUCAUUUUGGAGCAGAGUCAGCAUGAGUAUCCAGACCCCACCCAGACUCCUUGACCUGGUGGGAAUGCACCUGCCGAGAGAUGAUGACUUGGCCUUUUCUACUCUGGUGAGUCUGCCCACAGAGCUCUUCCCACCCUUUUCCUGGAAGCCUUCCAUGGAAGAUGUGUUGAGACCCUGGAAUCAAUGGUGUAAACCUGGCCCUUUGGCCGCCUGCCUCUGGGGGCCCUGAUUGACCUGGCUCAUGUGGGGCCCCUACAAGCUGGAAGCACUCGAUGUCCUGCUUGCUCAGAAGGUCCGAUACAGGAGGUGCAAACUGCGGGUGCUAGAUUUACGAAACAUGGGCCAGAACUUCUGGAGCAUGUGGUCUGGAGCCAGCAGUUAUGGGUGCUCAGGCUCAGGAAUGGCACUAAUGACUGAGCCCAGGUCAACGACAAAGCAGCACUUGGCUCCACUAAAGAUUUUUAUGGACCUUUGCCUGAAGAAAAAGACCCUGGACAACUUCCUCACCUACUUCCUUUGGUGGGUGGAGCAGAGAAAGUCUUCCAUCCACCUGUGUUGUUAAGAAGCUGAUGAUUGUUUCAAUGCCAAUGGACAAUAUCGUGAAGGUCCUGAGCGUGGUGCAGCUGGACUGCAUCCAGGAGGUGCAAGUGAGUUGCACCUGGAAUCUGUCCACCCUGGCCACAUUUGUUUGCUCCUUUCCUGGGUGAGAUGAGUAAUUUGCAGAGAAUCCAUUUCUUCCCCAUCCACGUGUCUGCCUUUAAGAAGCAGGAACAGGAUUACCUCCCAGUGCAAAUUACCUCCCAGUUCCUGAGGUUGGGCCACCUCCAGGAUCUCCAUCUGGAGUCUCCCUCCUUCCUUGAAGGCUGCCUGGACCAGAUGCUCAGGUGCCUGAAGUUCCCCUUAGACAGCCUGUCAAGAACCAGUUGCUGGCUUACAGAAUCACACUUGACUUCCCUGUCCCAGAGCCCAAACAUCAAGUCAGCUAAAGGGCCUGGAUCUGACUGGUGUCACCAUGACUGACUUUAGGUCUGAGCUCCUCCAAGUUCUGCUGCAGAAAGUCGCAGCCACCCUCCAGGAACUGGACUUAGAUGCAUGUGGGAUCACAGACUCCCAGCUGGAGGCCUUCCUGCCUGCCCUGAGCCGCUGCUCCCAGCUCAGGGCCGUCAGCCUGUGUGGGAACCUCCUGUCCACGGCCGUCAUGGAGAAGCUGCUGAGACACACCGCUGUGCUGCCUUGUUUAAGGCCAGAGCGUUAUCCUGCCCCUCAGGAGAGUUACAGACCUCGGGGUGUUCUCCUGGAAGCGAGACUUGCCCAGCUUCAGGCUCAGCUGUUGGAGAUUCUGAGAGACUUGGGACAUCCCAGUAUCAUCUGGAUUAGCCCCAGCCCCUGUCCUCGCUGUGGGGAGGAGGUAUGCCAUCACACGGAGCCCAUUAUAUACAGCUGUCCUGCCCCUGCCUAGGGCAUUGCUUGCUUCUGUGCACCUUGAAAUGGAAAUCUAGAACUUGGGGAUAUCAUGAAGGGAACACAGACCUAGGGUUCCAGAUAUCUGCUCAAUGUGAACGGGGAAAGGAAAGGUGAUAGUGGGGGUGGUGCAGGAUUGCAGGGGGAUUUGUAGACUCUGGGAGAGGAUGGGACUUCCAUGGACAUGUGCUUCCAGAAUCUGAUAUGAACCUGAGUGGAAACACGUUGGAGACCCAUGUGUUAGAGUUAUCCCUGGGAAGACAGUUGUGAAGAAAUUGUCGGGAAAUAUCAUAUGACAUCCCUUAUAUGUGGAAUCUAAAAAGAAAUGAUACAAAUGAGCUUACUGGCAAAACAGAAAGAGACUCACAGAUUUAGAACAUGAACUCAUGGUUGCUGGGGGGACGGGGUGGUUGGGGAUUUUAGGAAAGUCAUGUACACAGAGCUGUAUUUAGAGUGGAUAACCAAUGGGAACCUAUUGUAUAGCACAUGGAACUCUGCUCAAUGUUAUGUUCCAGACUGGAUGGGAGGGGGAUUUAGGGGAGAAUAAGUGAGUGAAGUUGCUCAGUCAAGUCUGACUCUUUGAAACCCCAUG